rnacentral:rRNA from 1 species
AGCGGCGGACGGGUGAGUAACGCGUGGGUAACCUGCCCUAUACACACGGAUAACAUACCGAAAGGUAUGCUAAUACGAGAUAAUAUAAGAGAUUCACAUGGAUUUCUUAUCAAAGCUGAGGCGGUAUAGGAUGGACCCGCGUCUGAUUAGCUAGUUGGUAAGGUAACGGCUUACCAAGGCGACGAUCAGUAGCCGACCUGAGAGGGUGAUCGGCCACAUUGGAACUGAGACACGGUCCAAACUCCUACGGGAGGCAGCAGUGGGGAAUAUUGCACAAUGGGCGAAAGCCUGACGCAGCAACGCCGCGUGAGUGAUGAAGGCCUUCGGGUCGUAAAACUCUGUCCUCAAGGAAGAUAAUGACGGUACUUGAGGAGGAAGCCCCGGCUAACUACGUGCCAGCAGCCGCGGUAAUACGUAGGGGGCUAGCGUUAUCCGGAUUUACUGGGCGUAAAGGGUGCGUAGGUGGUCUCUUAAGUCAGGAGUGAAAGGCUACGGCUUAACCGUAGUAAGCUCUUGAAACUGGGAGACUUGAGUGCAGGAGAGGAAAGUGGAAUUCCUAGUGUAGCGGUGAAAUGCGUAGAUAUUAGGAGGAACACCAGUAGCGAAGGCGGCUUUCUGGACUGUAACUGACACUGAGGCACGAAAGCGUGGGGAGCAAACAGGAUUAGAUACCCUGGUAGUCCACGCCGUAAACGAUGAGUACUAGGUGU